ensembl:snRNA U7 U7 small nuclear RNA
GAAAAUCUGCUUUCUUAGAAUUUGUCCAGCAGGUUUCUUCUAAAGAAGAAGCCCCC